GAUGAACGCUGGCGCCGUGCCUAAUACAUGCAAGUCGAGCGAAUGGAUUAAGAGCUUGCUCUUAUGAAGUUAGCGGCGGACGGGUGAGUAACACGUGGGUAACCUGCCCAUAAGACUGGGAUAACUCCGGGAAACCGGGGCUAAUACCGGAUAACAUUUUGAACCGCAUGGUUCGAAAUUGAAAGGCGGCUUCGGCUGUCACUUAUGGAUGGACCCGCGUCGCAUUAGCUAGUUGGUGAGGUAACGGCUCACCAAGGCAACGAUGCGUAGCCGACCUGAGAGGGUGAUCGGCCACACUGGGACGGAGAAACGGCCCAGACUCCUACGGGAGGCAGCAGUAGGGAAUCUUCCGCAAUGGACGAAAGUCUGACGGAGCAACGCCGCGUGAGUGAUGAAGGCUUUCGGGUCGUAAAACUCUGUUGUUAGGGAAGAACAAGUGCUAGUUGAAUAAGCUGGCACCUUGACGGUACCUAACCAGAAAGCCACGGCUAACUACGUGCCAGCAGCCGCCGUAA
rnacentral:rRNA from 1 species